GUGCUCGCUUCGGCAGCACAUAUACUAAAAUUGGAACGAUACAGAGAAGAUUAGCAUGGCCCCUGCACAAGGAUGACACACAAAUUCAUGAAGCGUUCCAUAUUUUU
ensembl:snRNA U6 U6 spliceosomal RNA